rnacentral:tRNA from 1 species
GCCUGUGUGGCUCAGUCGGUUAAGCGUCCGACUUCAGCUCGGGUCAUGAUCUCACGGUCUGUGAGUUCGAGUCCCACGUCAGGCU